AUUGAUGAGUUAUUAUACCCAAUCACUGGGUUUAUCAUAACAUUUGAAAUCAGAGCCAGCCAACGGACUUUUUCCUGGAAGUCAACUGAACUGAGGAAACCUUCAACAACAAGGAAAGGUUAACCAGAGAUCGCACUGGCGUCCGGAUCCUUUGUAAGCUGAUCACGUUAUGUCCGUCUGUGCUAAGACUGGAAGUGACUGAAAGACAACACAGAUGCAUUCUUUCAGCAAGCACUUGUCCUGGAGGUUUUGUAGACAGAACUGGAAGUGACUGAAAGGAAACGGAGACUUAUUCUUUCAGCAAGGU